rnacentral:rRNA from 1 species
AUUGAACGCUGGCGGCAUGCCUUACACAUGCAAGUCGAACGGCAGGCACGGGAGCAAUCCUGGUGGCGAGUGGCGAACGGGUGAGUAAUAUAUCGGAACGUGCCCGGUCGUGGGGGAUAACGUAGCGAAAGCUACGCUAAUACCGCAUACGAUCUACGGAUGAAAGCGGGGGAUCGCAAGACCUCGCGCGAUUGGAGCGGCCGAUAUCAGAUUAGGUAGUUGGUGAGGUAAAGGCUCACCAAGCCGACGAUCUGUAGCUGGUCUGAGAGGACGACCAGCCACACUGGGACUGAGACACGGCCCAGACUCCUACGGGAGGCAGCAGUGGGAAUUUUGGACAAUGGGCGCAAGCCUGAUCCAGCAAUGCCGCGUGCAGGAUGAAGGCCUUCGGGUUGUAAACUGCUUUUGUACGGAACGAAACGGUGAGCUCUAAUACAGUUUGCUAAUGACGGUACCGUAAGAAUAAGCACCGGCUAACUACGUG